GAGUCCAGCUGCUGAGGAACAGAAGAACCGGCGAGGGGAGAGAAAGCAGAGCGAGAGCAGAGGCUGCUCGGCAGCCUGGACUCUCCUCUCCUCCCUUCACCAGCUCCUUUUACGACCACUGCUAUUAAUUACCAGUGUUAAAAGAGCCCCCGGCAGCAGGAGCUGCCCACACCAGCUCGGUGCUGGGUCCUUUCGGAGGCAGAGUGAAGGGUGGUGGACGCCAGGACCUUGUCACCACUGCUUGCAUCUCACAGAAUCACAGAGACGCUCAGCUUGGCAAAGCCCCUCGGGAUCACCAAGUCUCAACCGCCGUGACCCUUCGCUAGGCAGAGGAGCGGAACCUUUUGCAUCUCCAGCUUGGAGCCCUCCGAGGCAUCCGCCUGGAGCUCUCCUGUGCUGCCAGAGACAAACAGCGACCGCAGCAAUUAAUCACUGCAGCCUCGGAACCCGGCGAGAGCUAACGAGGAGCAUCUUCAAGCCUGGCAUCUCCUAACUAACAGUUUUAAUAAUCCCAGGUUGCUCCGAAGCACC